rnacentral:rRNA from 1 species
UGGCGGACGGGUGAGUAAUGUCUGGGAAACUGCCCGAUGGAGGGGGAUAACUACUGGAAACGGUAGCUAAUACCGCAUAACGUCGCAAGACCAAAGAGGGGGACCUUCGGGCCUCUUGCCAUCGGAUGUGCCCAGAUGGGAUUAGCUAGUAGGUGGGGUAAAGGCUCACCUAGGCGACGAUCCCUAGCUGGUCUGAGAGGAUGAUCAGCCACACUGGGACUGAGACACGGCCCAGACUCCUACGGGAGGCAGCAUG